rnacentral:rRNA from 1 species
UACGGAGGUGGCAAGCGUUGCUCGGAAUCACUGGGCGUAAAGGGCGCGUAGGCGGGGAGGUAAGUCGGGUGUGAAAUCCCUCGGCCCAACCGAGGAACUGCGCCCGAGACUGCUUCUCUUGAGUCCCGGAGAGGAAGGUGGAAUUCCCGGUGUAGCGGUGAAAUGUGUAGAGAUCGGGAGGAACACCGGUGGCGAAGGCGGAUCUCUGGGCCUGUUCUGACGCUGAGGCGCGAAAGCGUGGGGAGCAAACAGG